AUAUAUACACCCACACACCACACACGAACAUAUAUAUUGUGUGUAUGUAUGUGUGUGUAUAUAU